rnacentral:rRNA from 1 species
UACGGGGGGGGCAAGCGUUGUUCGGAAUUACUGGGCGUAAAGGGCUCGUAGGCGGCCAACUAAGUCAGACGUGAAAUCCCUAGGCUCAACCUAGGAACUGCGUCUGAUACUGGAUGGCUUGAAUCCGGGAGAGGGAUGCAGAAUUCCAGGUGUAGCGGUGAAAUGCGCAGAUAUCGGGAGGAACACCUAUGGCGAAGGCAGCUCGCUGGGACGUUACUGACGCUGAGACGCGAAAGCGUGGGAGCAAACAGG